UUUGCUCUAUAUGUAUGCUUGGCUCAAAGCUUAUUCGUCCAAACACUGCCAAGCGGACUUUGUAGUCCAAUCGGCUUCUUCUUCUCUACCUGUUUCUAACAGCUUCUUGUUUGGGAAAUUUGCUUGUUUUCUUGUUGAAAUAAGUAGAGGGGUUUCGUUUCCAUUUUCUGCUCGGGAAUGUUGUCUUUCUCCUUUGGGAAAAAACCCUAAACUUCAGCCUCCAUUUCUUGAGUUUUCUUACAGUUAAACUCUACUUUGAUUGGUUGCCCUGCGGGAAAGUCUGCCCUCUUUCUCUUUGCUGCCAAACAAACACAUACUCUUCACCUGUAUAUUGGAACUUCAUAUUAUUCUACUUAUAUGGUAUUUUUCAUCUCAAGUCUUGCAUGUGGGAACGAGGUAUGCAGUGCAGCCAAGGAUGACUUGCCGGCAACAAUGCUCCCAUACAAUAUUUGUAUAUCAACCCUAAUCUUGCAGAUCUAUAUAUGUAUAUAUGUAUAUGUGCAUAGCAUAUACAUAUGGGAUGUAUCAUGUAUGUUGAUGUCAUCUCAUGCGUAUAUGCAUGAUAGAUAAGAUACAUGAUCUUGUGACAAUGAGUUGAUCGGCAAGUCGUCUCUGGCUACAUUUUUGCCUCCUUUUCUCAUGCUAGAUUUAUGAUGACGACGAUAGCAACCACGAUCUCGACAAUCAUGCAUGCAGUGACGGUAGUUGUAGUCAUGGCAGCAUGUUCUCAUGCCAUAGACCUCAAUUUGAAGGAUAUGAGUCGCCAGCUUGAUGUAUCUAAUUUUAUGUAAGGUUGCUUGAAGCUGUCUGCCUCGUAUAUAUGUGAUGUUUUGAAACUUUCUACAUGAAACAGAAGUUAGAUAGCUAUGGAGCUUUACUGUCAAACUAAUAUGUCUGUAUUUUCACAAGAUAGGAUAUCACAGAUUAACACAGUACGACUAGCUUGCAAGUUGAAGGAACUGCCCUUGUCUGCUAAGUUGAUGCUUCAUUAUUCUUACUGGCCAUUUUCAUGUAUAUAUCUAGCUACUGUAUUUAUGUAACCUUGAUAAGUUGCAAACUUUGCACAA